AGAGUGGAAACUUCCUUGGCAGUGGGGGUGGUUGUUGGGCAUACAGCUAUUUAAUCAGGAGAUCACCUGUGUCCUUCUCUGGUUUAAUGCAACCCCGCCCACUCAACCUAAACAGCUUAAAACACUUAAACUGAGUCAUUUCACCUUCUCUGGCUUCCCUCCUUCUUGUUUUCCUCUUCAUCAAAACAACAUUUCUACAGUGGGCUCAGAGGCUGAACUAAUUGCCUAUAAUUUCACUUAGACACGCACUCACGUCCAGCCCUGCACUUCACUUCUCCAGACAGCAAUCUUGGUCUCUGUCUUACUUGUUUCUUCCCUUCCUCUCCUCUCGUUCUUGUAUUCUUUCCCCCAAGAGACAUGAUUUACUUCUGUCAUGGACAAGGACAUCUGCCUAUUAGCGAGUGCCACUGACGUAGGCAUCGCCAUCCCCUCCUGCUUAUUAUCCCCCUUGCUCAUCCGCCUUCUUCUCCCGCUCCACCUCCUCCUGCCUUACUCAAAUUGGGGUCACCAACCUUCAUCAUGCAGUGCUGGUGAAUCAUCAGUGGGACUCUCGGGAGGAGGGACUGCCUGUCCAGGAUACUUCCGUCCUCCUCCCUAAAUUACCAGGGUAACCCGACAUUGUCUGCUCUCUACUGUCACACCACUCUGUCGCACAAAGAGAGGAAUACAGCAAUAGAGGGAGACAUUGAAUAUGAAUGAGGGACGUUGCAAGAAGAUGGGGAUCGUGAAAGAUACAGUAAUGCUUACGUAAUAAAAUCAAAGCUCACCAAC